rnacentral:lncRNA from 1 species
CUAGAGUGAUGCCUACAAGUCCCCAGUCAUUGUCUUAAACCUAUAGUCACCUUCAAUUCCAGAGAAAGCAGAGCUUUGUGAGCCCCUCAUGGUGAAGUCACCCUCUGAGUAGGAGCAGUUACCCCAUAUGGGACCCACAGUUGGCCCCUAAGUGGGCACCAUCAUCUCAUGAUAGCAACUGAAUCAUCCCCUCAGGUGACAAAAGCUGUCCCCAGACUUCAUAGAACCAGUCCUGAGACACCCAUCAACCAACCUUGACCAGGAUGACCUACAAGCCUUGCAUUCAAUAAAAUCCCAAGACUUUUGCCAUCAGUUCCUGGAAGAAACCUCCUGAGCCUGGCCUUUACAAGCUUUCUGGUCUUCUGAGCUCUGCCUGGAAGAUAAACAAGUACAUCCCGGGAACUCUGUGUCCUGUAGUGAACCCGAAACCCACAGGGACAAGACGGAGGGCCUGUAACAAGAUGGCGUUACUUGUGCUAAGUCUCAUCUGGGUCUUACACCCCUUCAUCUGUGCUUGCCAGCAUGCCCUUCCC